rnacentral:rRNA from 1 species
CGUGUCGAGGUGUGUGAUGCUAAGCAUGUGAGCUUGUCUUGGGAGUGUUUUUGAUGCUUCUGGGGUGGGUGAGUGUGUGAACCGAUCAUGUAGUAGGCAAGCUGCGGAGGGACGCAGUGAGGUAGCUCAUCCCCGGUGAUGGUUGUCCGGGGCUAAGUGUGUGGACUGUCUGGUAGGUAAAUCCGCUGGGCGUGAAGGUUGAGGCAUGAUGGGGAGCCCAUGGUUGUGGGUGAGUGAGUGAUCCUGUACUGUCGAGAAAAGCUUCGUGAGCGAGGUGGCGGGUCCGCCCGUACCCUAAACCGACACUGGUGGAUAGGUAGAGUAUACCGAGGCGAUCGAGUGAAUCGUGGUGAAGGAACUCGGCAAAAUGCCCCCGUAACUUUGGGAUAAGGGGGACCUGAGCUGUCGUGCACCCGUGCGGUGUGGUGGCGGUGAGGGGCGCAGAGUCCAGGGGGAAACGACUGUUUACCAAAAACACAGGUCCGUGCGAAGUCGUAAGACGAUGUAUACGGACUGACUCCUGCCCGGUGCUGGAAGGUUAAGGGGAACUGUGAGUGUAUGCGUAGCGGUGAACUUAAGCCCCAGUAAACGGCGGUGGUAACUAUAACCAUCCUAAGGUAGCGAAAUUCCUUGUCGGGUAAGUUCCGACCUGCACGAAUGGAGUAACGAUUUCCCUACUGUCUCCACCAUGAACUCGGUGAAAUUGCAUUACGAGUAAAGAUGCUCGUUACGCGCAGCAGGACGGAAAGACCCCGGGACCUUUACUAUAGUUUGGUAUUGGUGAUUGGGACGGUUUGUGUAGGAUAGGUGGGAGACGUUGAUGCGGCCACGCUAGUGGUGGUGGAGUCGUUGGUGAAAUACCACUCUGAUUGUUCUGGUUAUCUCACUGUGGACCGUGAUCCGGUUCAAGGACAGUGCCUGAUGGGUAGUUUGACUGGGGCGGUCGCCUCCUAAAGGGUAACGGAGGCGCCCAAAGGUUCCCUCAGCCUGGUUGGUAAUCAGGUGGUGAGUGUAAGUGCACAAGGGGGCUUGACUGUGAGACUGACAGGUCGAGCAGGGACGAAAGUCGGGACUAGUGAUCUGACGGUGGCUUGUGGAUGCGCCGUCACUCAACGGAUAAAAGGUACCCCGGGGAUAACAGGCUGAUCUUGCCCGAGCGCUCAUAGCGACGGCAUGGUUUGGCACCUCGAUGUCGGCUCGUCGCAUCCUGGGGCUGGAGUCGGUCCCAAGGGUUGGGCUGUUCGCCCAUUAAAGCGGCACGCGAGCUGGGUUCAGAACGUCGUGAGACAGUUCGGUCCCUAUCCGCUGCGCGCGGAGGAAUCUUGAGAAGGGCUGUCUUUAGUACGAGAGGACCGAGACGGACUGACCUCUGGUGUGCCAGUUGUUCUGCCAAGAGCAUGGCUGGUUGGCUACGUCGGGUUGUGAUAACCGCUGAAAGCAUCUAAGCGGGAAGCACGCUUCAAGAUAAGGGUUCCCACAGGAGUGUUCCUGGUAAGGUCCCCGAGAGAUGAUCGGGUUGAUAGGCCAGACGUGGACGCAUCGUAAGGUGUGGAGCUGACUGGUACUAAUAGACCGAGGACUUUCAUUA